GAGAGCUUCCCUUCACCACCCACCAAUCCCUUCUCUUCUCCCAAGAAGCGUGUGUCCCUCCAGCUGGGGUACAAUGCAAGGGCAUUUGGCUUGAAGCGGGGUUGGAGGUUGGACGACUACCGGGGGUUGAUGUGGAUGGAGAUGGCAGUAUGGUCACUUCCUGCUGCUUUCUCCUUCCAGGUGUGCCCAGACACUCUUCUCACUUCUGUUUCUUGCAGUAAUUCCCUGUGUUUCAUCUGUUCAUCUAGGGAAAGAAGAAGAAGAGGAAAAGGGACAAGCAGCCGGGAGAGACCAAUGGAGAAAAAAAAAGUGCGUUCGCUACAUACAAGG
rnacentral:sRNA from 1 species